rnacentral:rRNA from 1 species
AGUGAACGCUGGCGGUAUGCCUAACACAUGCAAGUCGAACGGCAGCACAGUAAGAGCUUGCUCUUACGGGUGGCGAGUGGCGGACGGGUGAGGAAUACAUCGUAAUCUACUUUUUCGUGGGGGAUAACGUAGGGAAACUUACGCUAAUACCGCAUACGACCUACGGGUGAAAGCAGGGGAUCUUCUGACCUUGCGCGAUUGAAUGAGCCGAUGUCGGAUUAGCUAGUUGGCGGGGUAAGGGCCCACCAAGGCGACGAUCCGUAGCUGGUCUGAGAGGAUGGUCAGCCACACUGGAACUGAGACACGGUCCAGACUCCUACGGGAGGCAGCAGUGGGGAAUAUUGGACAAUGGGCGCAAGCCUGAUCCAGCCAUACCGCGUGGGUGAAGACGGCCUUCGGGUUGUAAAGACCUUUUGUUGGGAAAGAAACGCAGCAGGUUAAUACCCAGCUGUUCUGACGGUACCCAAAGAAUAAGCACCGGCUAACUUCGUG